AAAAAAAUUCGGGCUCCCUUACGGGAGCCUUCAUGGGAGAGGAGAAACCGGACGAAGAGCUUAUGGGGAAACGUAAGUCUUCUCCGCGG
rfam:Paenibacillus sp. VKM B-2647 B-2647_077, whole genome shotgun sequence.